GACGAACGCUGGCGGCGUGCUUAACACAUGCAAGUCGAACGGAAAGGCCCUGCUUUUGUGGGGUGCUCGAGUGGCGAACGGGUGAGUAACACGUGAGUAACCUGCCCUUGACUUUGGGAUAACUUCAGGAAACUGGGGCUAAUACCGGAUAGGAGCUCCUGCUGCAUGGUGGGGGUUGGAAAGUUUCGGCGGUUGGGGAUGGACUCGCGGCUUAUCAGCUUGUCGGUGGGGUAGUGGCUUACCAAGGCUUUGACGGGUAGCCGGCCUGAGAGGGUGACCGGCCACAUUGGGACUGAGAUACGGCCCAGACUCCUACGGGAGGCAGCAGUGGGGAAUAUUGCACAAUGGGCGGAAGCCUGAUGCAGCAACGCCGCGUGCGGGAUGAAGGCCUUCGGGUUGUAAACCGCUUUCGCCUGUGACGAAGCGUGAGUGACGGUAAUGGGUAAAGAAGCACCGGCUAACUACGUG
rnacentral:rRNA from 1 species